UAUGUGAUCGUCUCUCGCAUAUCAAUAAGCGGAGGAAAAGAAACUAACAAGGAUUCCCCUAGUAACGGCGAGUGAAGCGGGAAGAGCUCAAAUUUGAAAUCUUAAAGGGUUUCCCUUUACGAAUUGUAGUUUAAAGAAGUGUAUUCUGUUGAGGUUUUGGUAAAAGUUCUUUGGAAUAGGACAUCAUAGAGGGUGAGAAUCCCGUAUUUGACCUUUACUUUCAACUUUGUGAUACACUUUCAAAGAGUCGGAUUGUUUGGGAAUGCAGUCCGAAAUGGGUGGUAAAUUUCAUCUAAAGCUAAAUAUUGGCGAGAGACCGAUAGCGAACAAGUACCGUGAGGGAAAGAUGAAAAGAACUUUGAAAAGAGAGUUAAACAGUACGUGAAAUUGUCAAAAGGGAAGCGUUUGACACCAGUGUUGUUUUUCUGAAAAUCAAUUAAAGAACUGUUUAUGCUAAGUUGUUUAGACUUUAUCAGCUAUCCUGCUUAGUUCUGAGCUUUUCUUUAAUGCACUUUUCAGUUAACAAGUCAACAUCAAUUUCUUUUGCUGUAAAAAAGCUUGAGGAAGGUGGCUUGAGAUUCGUCUUAAGUGUUUAUAGCCUCUUGCCUAUGCAGUCGGAGAGAUUGAGGUCUGCAGCGUAGAUCCUUCGGGGCUAAAUGCAUUUGUGCUAAGUUAUAGCAUUUUAUAGACAACUUGUUGACUAUGAUUUGUCUUGUAGCUUACUCGCUUAUGUUAUUUUACCUACGCUUAGGAUGUUGAUAUCGCGCUCUCACUG
rnacentral:rRNA from 1 species